CGGCCCGCGCGCUCCUCCCUUCCCCUGCCCCCGGGAGAGCCUGAGUGUGGUUGAACCUGGAGAAGAGGAACGUACGAGAGGCCCACGUCAGGGGUUCCGAGUGAGGCGUGUGGGCCACGGUGGGGACCGGGGACUCUUGGCGCGAUGCUGAUGAAUCGGGGUAUCCGAAACUCCUAGCCGCGGCGGAGGCGCCCUGCAGUGGAAGCGCGAGGCCGCCUUGCUGCAGACGACUUGCCUCCAGCCCCAGGAGCAGACGCCUGCCUGCCGGGUCUGCUCCAGGCACCCACGGCCCGUCUCGUGUCGAGGGCGUCCCACUUUGCGUGCAUGCCCCCGCAUUUCCGCUUUUGCCCAGGCCAGGGCUGCAUCCAGGCAGGCUUGAGCCUCAGGGCUCUGUGGCCGGGCGUGCUGCACCGGCGGUGCUCGUUAGGGAAAGGAGACGGGCUUUGAUGUGGGUAACCGGGAAGAAACCAAGAGUUGACCGAAGGCUGAUGUCAACAAUGGACAACGACUGUGAUGUCAACAGUGCUGCAGUGGAGAGUCGCGGUCCCUCACUCGGUGCAGAUCUUGAGCUCGUUCUGAGACCUGGACUCCACGUCCGGGCGGGGGGGUGGGGGGGGCGUGCCCUUUUUCAGGUAGGAUCCUACACUGGCACCAUGAGCGUAUACACAAGUCCUUCUCCAGUUAGCCUGGUUUGGACAAGAGACUAGCCGGCCUCUCAAGGGCUGUUCGGUACAGAGUUCGAGCUGACACCUGUGCCAGGGUGCCCGAAGCAUGUGGGCCCUCUGGUCUCAGUGUCUGUCCAGCAGUAAGAUGGGCUUGUCCUUUGACCCUGGGCCUCUGAAAUAGAACUGUAUGUGGAAAGAACAAAGUGGAAGCUCCUGAAACUGCCCCCUCCCCAGCCCCAAGCCUUCCAGGGCAGUGCAUCAGAGACAGCCCUGUGACCCGGAUGAUGGCAGUUAUUCUGCCUCAAAGACUUAAUCGGAGGCCCAACUGCAUCCCAUAAUUCACCUGAACGGCCCCUGGAGAACCCAGAAGGAUUCCUGUAAACAACGGAGACCACUACAGACAGCCACAGUGUCCCCAGUUGUGGCAGCUGGAGCCAAGUAACACACCCUGGGACUUGAUCACGUAAGGUAGAGUUACAGACAGAGAGACACAGACGGAAAGGUCUUCCAUCUGAUGGGUCACCCCCAGAAGGCGGCAACGGCCGGAGCUACGCCAAUCUGAAGCCAGGAGCCAGGUGCCUCCUCCUGGUCUCCCAGGCGGGUGCAGGGCCCAAGCACUUGGGCCAUCCUCCACUGCACUCCUGGGCCACAGCAGAGAGCUGGCCUGGAAGAGGAGCAACCGGGACUAGAACUCAGUGCCCAUAUGGGAUGCCGGCACUGCAGGCGGAGGAUUAGCCUAGUGCACCACGGUGCCGGCCCCAAGUGGAUCCUUUACACCACUUUUGAACAUCACACAAUGGCCUCUUGGAAAAUAGUGGUUCUCUGUGCUGGCAGAUCUUUCUAACGUUGGCACGUGUAUUAUAUAGCAUCAGAAAGAAUGCGUGAAUGUCAUUACCAAGCUCCUCCUCAGAUUCCUUCAGUAUCGGGGAGUGAAGCUCACGGUGGUGGACACAGGCUUCCCCAAGCUCUGAUUUCUGCGUGGAAGGUCAGGUUGUUCCCUGGAAGCGACGUUGUCAGUUUCCGUUGACGGGACCUGCUUCCUUUCUUGAGGAAGUGUCUGCCCAAGCCUGAAGAACCACGAUUCGGAAGUUGUUCUUUCGAGUAAAAUGGUGCUCCGUGAGAAACUGGCUGGAUCCGCUGGCAGGGAAGACUUUCCCGAGAGAUGGAGAGCACGGUUGCUCCAUGUGCGUGCUCAGGCUUGUUAGGGUCACCUGAAUGUUUGCAAGGAGUCAGCACUGAGACAGUCACGGUGACAAGUUCUGAGGUGGAACUGCAGUCCCCUGCAGGCGGCGUGACGAAUCCGGUGGCCACUGUCACAGUUUGGUGCCACUGCUCUAGGCUGUGCUAAGAAGACAGGUGUCUCACGGGGGCUGGCGCUGGGGUGCUGCGAGUUAAAGUCCCAGCCUGCAGUGCCUGCAUCCCACAUGGGCACCGGUUUGAGUCCCGGCUGCUCCUCUUCCAAUCCAGCUCUCUGCUAAUGAGCCUGGGAAAGCAGUGGAAGAUGGCCCCAGUCCUUGGGCCCCUGCACCCAUGUGAGAGACCCAGAAGACACUCCUCGCUCCUGGCUUCGGAUCGGCGCAGCUCCGGCCGUUGUAGCCAUUUGGGGAGUGAACCAGUGGAUGGAAGUCCUCUCUCUCUCUCUCUCUCUGGCUCUACCUCUCUCUGUAACUCUUUCAAAUAAAUAAAUCUUAAAAAAAAAAAAAAAGUAGACAGCUGUCUCACCAACCAUUGUGGGUUUUUUUUUUUUUUUCCACUAUUGAUGCAAAGGUCCACAGUAUUGUUAUAAAUAACUUUGGCUUUUCUGAUCCCCUUGAAGUGACUUGGGGACUCUAGGAAGCCAUGAGAACCGCAGGAAUCCUAGCAUGAUGCAUUUUCAGUUUUAUUAAGCAAUGCUAAAUUUAUCUCCAAAGUAGUUAUCUAGUUUUAUACUGUGGCAAUUAUUUUAUUAACUUUUUAAAAUAUUUAUUUAUUUGAAAGGCAGACAGAUCUGCCCUCCAUUGUUCACUCCCAAAUGGCCACAGCAGCCAGGUCGGGACCAAGUCAAAGGCAGGAGCCAGGAGCUCCGUGCCAGUCUCCCACUGGGUGGCAGGGCCAAGCGCUUCGGCUGUGCUUGACUGCUUUCCCAGGCACGUUAGCGGGCGCACGUUGGAAGCAGCACAGCCAGGUCUCAAACCAGCCCUCUGCCAGGGGUGCUGGCUUCUCACGCGGCAGCUCAACCUGCUGUGCCACAACUCCAGCCCCUGCUUCAUUCAUUAGAGACCGAGCUUCGUCUGCUGGCUCACUCAGGUGUGUGGAACGACUGGGUGGAAGCUGUGUGGGAGUCAGCGCAAGUCUCCCAUGUGGGUGGCAGGAACCCAGUGAAUCUCCCAUUGGGUGCUAAUGCAGGAUCUGCCUUAUCGGGAGGCUGAUCAGGAACCAAAUCGGACUGAGCCCAGGCACUCUGAUGGGGGCCUGAACAGCUCCCCGGCCGCCUCGCCCCCGGGUCAGACAUCCAUCCCUACUUGAGCAGUGUGUGGCCUUCAACUCAGAGACCUGGAAUAGCUGUGCUUUAUUUAUUUUAAAGAUCUGUGGUUUUGAAAGUCAGAGUUGCAGAGAGAGGCACAGAGAAAGAUCUGCCACCCGCUGCUUCACUCCCCAAGUGGCCGCACUGGCCAGUGCUGGGCCAGGCCAGAGCCAGGAGCUCCACUGAGGUCUCCCACGUGUGCAGCAGGAGCCCGACUCUGCAGCAUCUCCUGCUGCUGUUCUAGGCCAUUAGCAGCGAGCUGGAUUGGAAGUCAAGCUGCCGGGACACCAGCCGGUGCCCAUGCGGGAGGCCAGCGCUGCAGGCGGCGGCUUUACCUGCUCCACCACAGCGCUGGCCUCAGUAGCGGUGACUUAAAUAAGGGAAAUCCGAUACUGUGUGUUUGAACACGGGACUGUAGUGAGUGGGAGCCCAGCCUGUGCAACCUUACGUAGUUUGCGUGAGAUUAUUCUAUUUAUCUCAUGUAGGCAUUGAGGUAAGCAAGCCCUGGGCUUGAACGGUGGCUCUGUACCCCAAAUAUUAGUGUCCCCUAAAAUUCAUGUUGAAAUCUAGUCUCUGAUGUGAUGGUGUUUGAGGACGGGGCCUCUGGGGGGAGGCCCAGGGCCGUUGGCCUAGCAGUGGAUUCACUGGUCAAGGUACCGUAUCUCACAUCACAGUUUGCUGGCUUUGGCUGCUGGCUCCCGCGCCUGACUCCAGCUUCAGGCGCACACAGACCCUGGCAGGCAGCAGGGGUGGCUGGAGCGACUGCACUCCUGCCACCCACGUGGGCGAGCCAGCGUGAGCUUUGGAUCCGGACUUCUCCAGCCCACCCAGCUGGAGCAGGUGCGUCUGGGGAGUGACUCAGCAAAUGGAAGCCCCCUGUUGUUUGGGCAGAUCUCAGGGAACAGUGACUGUUUAAGACAGCAGUAGCACAUCCUUGUGAGUCUUAGGACGAAGAAUAAAGCAAACUGGGAUUGAAGUUGGGACUCUCCAAGCUGGGUUCCCCGUGCUGUUCCAGAAGCGGUGAAAAUGCUGACUGACCGCGUGGGGGCGUCACCAUUAUGGGAUACCUGAUGUGGGAUUCUUUCAGAAGUGUGAGGAGCUGACUUGGAGGUGUGUGAAGUGCAGGUGGGCGGGGAGGGAGGGAGAGCCGUCCUCCCAGCUACCUGGGCACUGACUGUCCCUGGAGCCCAAGGAUGUAGCCCACCAAGGGCACUUUUUGUUAACCGGUGGAGCACGUUUGUGGGCAGAAAUGGCCUCCUUCAGCCUACCAGGAGGAGCCACCGUCGCUCCCAACGUCCGUGUAUGUGGGGGAGGGGCUGGGGAAAGGCGGAGGCUGUGCCCAGGGACCCCGUCCAGCUGUUCUCCUCUGGGACACUGCUGGGGUCCCUUUGCAUGCUCCCGGCGUGGACAGUGCCCUGACUGUCCCUGUGUGGAGACUGUAUGACCCUAACCCGUUCUGCAUUCAGGAAAACCAUCUUUGAGCAAGAAGUUUAUAUGACGGAGGCUAUCGAGACAUUCAAAGAUUUUUUUUUUUUUUUAAUUUGCUGAUAUGGAGCCGGCGCCGUGGCUCAAUAGGCUAAUCCUCCACCUUGUGGCGCCGGCACACCGGGUUCUAGUCCCGGUUGGGGCGCCGGAUUCUGUCCCGGUUGCCCCUCUUCCAGGCCAGCUCUCUGCUAUGGCCAGGGAGUGCAGUGGAGGAUGGCCCAGGUGCUUGGGCCCUGCACCCCAUGGGAGACCAGGAAAAGCACCUGGAUCCUGGCUCCUGCCAUCGGAUCAGCGCGGUGCGCCGGCUGCAGCGGCGGCCAUUGGAGGGUGAACCAACGGCAAAGGAAGACCUUUCUCUCUCUGUCUCUCUCUCUCACUGUCCACUCUGCCUGUCAAAAAUUAAAAAAAAAAAAAAUUUGCUGAUAUGGUGCUGCCUGCAGUGCUGGCAUCCCAUACGGGCGCCCGUUCAUGUUCUGGAUGCCCCACUUCCGAUUCAGCUCCCUGCUAAUGGCCUGGGAAAACAGUGGAUGAUGGCUCAAGUGCGUGGGCCUCUGCCAUCCGUGAGGGAGACCUGGAAGAAGCUCCUGGCUCCUGGCUUUGGCCUGGCCCAGUGCUGGCUGUUUUGGGCAUCUGGGAGAAUGAACCAGUGUAUGGAAGAUUUUCUCUCUCUCCCUCUCUCUCCCUCUCUCUGUAUGUAUGUGUGUGUCUCCCUCUUUCUGUAACUCUUUCAAAUAAAUUUUUAAGAAUAAAAACUUGUUGAUAAUA